GCUCUAGUGGCCUUUAUUUGAAAGUAGUUCAGCAGGAAAGAGGUAAUGAGAGAAGGGGCAAAUGUUCCCCCAGAGCGGUUCUGAUGUUUUCGGGUCGGUUCCCCUCCCCCAUGUGUCUGCGGUCGCAGCUUCUCAUGCGACGGAGCUCGGGUCGAGGCGCUGGCACGCGAUGCUGCGUGUCGCUCACACUUCCUGUCAAAAGAGGAAAAAACAGCCUGGUCGUCAUGGUUACCGCCUCCCAAUGGCACACGCCACCGCUGAGGUCAGAGGUCACGCGGCAGCAGCACGGCUAUCCUGGUGACCUUGGUCCUAAAAAGGUUUGGGUGUCACCAUGGUAACGGAGAAAUGGUCGAUUUCUCUGAUUUUACAUUUUUAAUAUCAGCAGCAGCUCAAGCUUCUGAUCAGAUUCAACUAUUGGGUUAUUAUGGGAUGUUAUGGAGAAUUUUCUUCUUAUUAGAAGUCAGUAACAUUUAUUCCUAAAACAAUUUUCAUGAAAUUACAAAGGAGCCAGAAAACCAACAAAAGAAACAAUAAAAUAAAAUAAAAUGUUUUAGUUGAUUUUUAAAAACCUGCAGUCAGAAAAUAGAGCUGAGAGAGAAAACCAUCCAAAACCUCCCACUGAUUUUAACAGGUUCAACCAGAACAGAACCAGGACCAGCAGAACUUUUAGUUACCACAGAACCAGCAACAGAACCAGAACCACUACCCUAUCACUAACAGGCAGAAGGAUCCAGUUGAUGUUCUGACUCGGGUGAAAAUUUAGAUUCAACAAGUUCAUCUGACAGACGGUACGAUGUUUGAGCUGGACCGGACCAGGAGGUGGAAUCUGUGGUUUAUUCUAAUAUUUAAUGCAGUUUCAGCUAAAUGUGAUCACAACAUGAUCAGAAUUGGGGUUGAGUACAGAGAGACCUGAACAACAGGAAUACUGAGAUUUGGAGACAUUUGAAUGUUUCUGAGAUGGAAUCACAACCACAAUACCAGUAAGAGCAGAUUGUUUAUGACAGUAAAUGUGAGUUAAAAUGAUGAUCUAAUAAGCAAUAUACUCAGAAUUCUGGAAAGUUUGUCUUUCAUCAGAACCAGAAGCUUUUUCCUCUGCUCCCUCCUGCCCGCCUUCGCUUGCUCUGUUUUUGUGCUGCUUGUUUGGAGCCCCUCUUUGCACAUCCUCUGACGCUACAAACUAUGGAUCUGGUUAACCGGUCUCUCAGUGCAAUUAAUCAAAGUUUCUCAACGAGACGACUGGGCACAGGAAAGCCCAGCGGGGACACACAAAGGGACACAUCCUGGAUUUAUUUGGAUUCAUGACAACAGGAUUUCUGCUGCUAGGAGUUGGUGGAUCCCUGGAAUAUCGACAGAUUAGUGACGGAUUGGGCCGACUGGCGAACACUCAGACUGAUGCUGUGGGACAGAGACGCCAGUUGGAUGAGAUUCUUUCCACGCUAAAUCUGGAUGAUUGGAAUUAACAGAGACGAACCAGUUGAGACUCUAGGGCAGAUGGAAAUGUGAAGUCUGCCUGAUCUAAAGACAAUUUCUUUAUUCUGAGUCUGGCUCGGGCUGCACAGUGGCGCAGUUGGUAGCACUAUUGCCUUGCAGCAGGAAGGUCCUGGGUUCGAUUCCUGGCCUGGCGUCUUUCUGCAUGGAGUCUGCAUGUUUUUCCUGUGCAUGGUGGGUUCUCUCCAGUUCUCUGGCUUCCUCACACAGUC